rnacentral:rRNA from 1 species
AUUGAACGCUGGCGGCAGGCCUAACACAUGCAAGUCGAACGGUAACAGGAUGUGCUUGCACAUCGCUGACGAGUGGCGGACGGGUGAGUAAUGCUUGGGAACAUGCCUUUGUGAGGGGGAUAACAGUUGGAAACGACUGCUAAUACCGCAUAACGUCUACGGACCAAAGGGGGCUUAGGCUCUCGCGCAAAGAGUGGCCCAAGUGAGAUUAGCUAGUUGGUGAGGUAAAGGCUCACCAAGGCGACGAUCUCUAGCUGUUCUGAGAGGAAGAUCAGCCACACUGGGACUGAGGCACGGCCCAGACUCCUACGGGAGGCAGCAGUGGGGAAUAUUGCACAAUGGGGGGAACCCUGAUGCAGCCAUGCCGCGUGUGUGAAGAAGGCCUUCGGGUUGUAAAGCACUUUUCAGUUGUGAGGAAAAGUUAGUAGUUAAUACCUGCUAACCGUGACGUUAGCAACAGAAGAAG